rnacentral:misc_RNA from 1 species
AAAAUCCUUUGAAAUCUCUUUCGAAUGAAGACAAAGAGUGCAUUUGUUAAUUCAAUCCUGCUAUCGCGGAGUUUAAAAUCAGUCAAAGACUUUUUAGGUUCUUUAAUCAAUCAGUUAAAUUCUCUUAAUCCUUAGCCUAUUUCUAGAUUUAAGCUAAUUAAGUCUAAUUUCCUGAUUAUCUAUCACUUCAUCUUCUCCUUUUGGUCCUUCAAUCAAGGAUUAAAAACAUAACUUAAUGGGAUCUUACACUAAGUAUAUCAUUAAACACACAAGAAAUAGAUAAAACUUCAUAAAAUUUAUAAAAUCUGAACUAACCCAGUUCAAAUUCUUAAAAUAACUCAAAUAUUACAUCUUUAACUUCAGAAUCUUAAAAAACUACUCACUAUCGAUGCUUUAUACAAGAGAUUCUAAGCUAAAGAAGGAAUAAAACAUGAAAAUAAACUAAAAUUGAAGAAACCCGAUGUUUGGUAUGAAGAAAUAAUGAAGAAGAAGAAUCCAAGCUCUUCAGACCAAAAAUAGCGUAUGUAUGCUACUUUCUCUCUCCCCCUUCAAAUUGUUUUCUUCUUAUAGCAAAAAGUGAUGUAAGGGAGCUUAAAUACCCUCUAACAAGAACCCUAGAUUAGGCUAAAAAUGGUGUGAGGUGAGGUCAUUGCAUGUAUGUAAUGAUUUGCCAUUUCAGUCAAUUGGCGAGAAAAUGCAUAGCUGGAACUGUGCUUUUGCAGUAUCUUAUGCGGAGUCAGGUUUGGAAAGGAUGAGUGAAAAUGGGUUUGGAUGGCCAUGUAGGUACUCUUGGCAUGAUGUAGCUGUUAUCUUGGGCUCUUGCAUAAGUGACUGCAUGGGCAUGCACGAAGUUAUGUAACUCUCGGCAGGUUUUAGCAUUUCUUCUAUUUUCUUAAUUCGAACUGCAUAAGCUAUGCAGCUUCUCAUGCAACCUUUGGUGACCUUCAAAUUCAUCAAUUUUUAAACCUCAUUUUUGGCAUCUUUGCACUUGAAUUUCAAUCUCAAAACAUGCAAUUAACUUUUAACUCCUAAAAAACACCAAUUAACUUAUAAAAUAAGAAUAAAUUCACAAAUUAAGCUAAAAAUUAACCAAUACAAAAAACUAAUUAAAUAACUAAUGAAAUUAAUUAAAAUUAACUAAUAAAAUGAUAAAAUGACUAUAAAAUCUAACCAGAAUAACUAUAUGGUAUAUCAAUACUGUUUUAAAUUAGAAUGUGAUUGCUGUAGAUUGAAGCUGGGAUGGUGCAGAAACAGUAUGUUGCGAAGGUCAUUGGAAUAUUUCCAGAGGAUGAGGUACACAAUUCAAACAUUUAAAAUUGGUUGCAAAAUAUUGCCUCUUGGCAGAGUAGGUAAGCAAUAAAAACACAACUGACUGCUAACUGGCAUCAAAAUUCUAAAUUAAGUUGUACAAAAAUUUUGAAUUUGUCUCACAAAUACUUCUCUUGCAAAAUGUGUUGGCAUCUUUAAUAAAAUUAAGAUUCUUAUUUCCCUAUUUGACAUUCACUAUGCAUUUCAUUUCAGCAAGUUGUUGAUGUUAACAUAAAUUAUAAUGCUCGAGAAGGAAGGAGCACAGCGGAGGUUGGUGACUCUUGCAGUGAUUUUCCCACUAAGGGGAAGGCUGCGUGUACCAAGUUUACCAGGAUAAGUACCAAUGGAACUCACAGCAUUGUUUUGUGUAAACCUAUCACUGGCCGAACUCAUCAACUGCCUUGCUUACAGACAUUCCAAAGGCUCUUAUGAUGAUCUUGAAUUUAAACCAUCUCGAGACGGCCAGGCUGUGUGAAAAUAGACCACAUGCAUAAUAUUGGCUUGAUUCCAGAACAUGAAGUCCUUGAUGCUAGGUCCCUUUCCUUCUUUAGAUAACAAACUGAGCAACAGCUGACAAUAAAAACUGGGACACUUUCCUUCUUCCUGAUCAGAGAAAUGUAUUUCUUUCAAUGGCUUUAAUUACUCCUGUUGGAAGAGUGAACAUGCUACAAAAAUAUGUUUUAAUCUCAUAAUCUUUUUGAUGUGGUCUUCCUCUUGUUUAAUAUCUAUAACUAUGUGAAUGUCUGAAUUUCAUUUCCCAUAAUUGUAAAUUUCCCCUUCCCUUUAUUGCUUCUGUUACUUAUUUUAUCGUUUUUAUUUUAUUGGCUUGGAUGA